rnacentral:rRNA from 1 species
UAACACGUGGGCAAUCUGCCCUUCACUCUGGGACAAGCCCUGGAAACGGGGUCUAAUACCGGAUAACACUCUGUCCCUCAUGGGGCGGGGUUAAAAGCUCCGGCGGUGAAGGAUGAGCCCGCGGCCUAUCAGCUUGUUGGUGGGGUAAUGGCCUACCAAGGCGACGACGGGUAGCCGGCCUGAGAGGGCGACCGGCCACACUGGGACUGAGACACGGCCCAGACUCCUACGGGAGGCAGCAGUGGGGAAUAUUGCACAAUGGGCGAAAGCCUGAUGCAGCGACGCCGCGUGAGGGAUGACGGCCUUCGGGUUGUAAACCUCUUUCAGCAGGGAAGAAGCGAAAGUGACGGUACCUGCAGAAGAAGCACCGGCUAACUACGUGCCAGCAGCCGCGGUAAUACGUAGGGUGCGAGCGUUGUCCGGAAUUAUUGGGCGUAAAGAGCUCGUAGGCGGCUUGUCACGUCGGAUGUGAAAGCUCGGGGCUUAACCCCGAGUCUGCAUUCGAUACGGGCUAGCUAGAGUGUGGUAGGGGAGAUCGGAAUUCCUGGUGUAGCGGUGAAAUGCGCAGAUAUCAGGAGGAACACCGGUGGCGAAGGCGGAUCUCUGGGCCAUUACUGACGCUGAGGAGCGAAAGCGUGGGGAGCGAACAGGAUUAGAUACCCUGGUAGUCCACGCCGUAAACGUUGGGAACUAGGUGUUGGCGACAUUCCACGUCGUCGGUGCCGCAGCUAACGCAUUAAGUUCCCCGCC